rnacentral:rRNA from 1 species
UACGAAGGGUGCAAGCGUUACUCGGAAUUACUGGGCGUAAAGCGUGCGUAGGCGGUUUGUUAAGUCCGUUGUGAAAGCCCUGGGCUCAACCUGGGAAUUGCAGUGGAUACUGGCGAGCUAGAGUGCGGUAGAGGAUGGUGGAAUUCCCGGUGUAGCGGUGAAAUGCGUAGAGAUCGGGAGGAACACCCGUGGCGAAGGCGGUCUGCUGGGCCGUUGCUGACGCUGAGGCGCGACAGCGUGGGGAGCAAACAGG